GGGGAAUUUGUCAACAACUUUUAACCAAAAUCUACGACAAAUAUUUCGCAAGCAUUUGAAAGGAAAGACGAAAUUUUAUUAAAAUGCGUUGACUCAAACAUUCAACUAACAAAGAGCAACAACUUUUUGUUGCAUUUCGCAGUAAAUCUCGUGGCGCGAAGAGGAAGCAGCCUCGAGUGAACACUUAGCUGCUCGUUCCGGGACGCCGGACAGUAUGGACGCGAGCCGGAGAUUGCCUUAAAGCCAUUGAUGUUGUUGGUUCCUGGUGCUUUGCUGCUCAAUCCAAGAGAAAAUAAAUAAAUAAUAAUAAUUUAAAAAAAAAAAAAA